CGGGGUUGUAGGACCGCGACAUUGUAUGCAAAUCGUGAACAGAACACUUUGGAAAAUGUGACCAUAGACGGUGAUAGUCCAGUAUGUGAAGCGAAAUGCAGCAUAGCGGUAUCCUGAGUAACGCGGGACACGAGGAAUCCUGCGCGAAUCUGCCGGGACCAUCCGGUAAGGCUAAAUACUCCCGUGAGACCGAUAGCGAACGAGUACUGUGAGGGAAAGGUGAAAAGAACCCCGAGCAGGGGAGUGAAAUAGUUCCUGAAACCAUACGCCUACAAGCGGUCGGAGCAUCUUACGAUGUGACGGCGUGCCUUUUGCAUAAUGAGCCUACGAGUUACUUUUACU
rnacentral:rRNA from 1 species